rnacentral:rRNA from 1 species
AUAACUAGCUGUCCGGGCACUUGGUGCUUGGGUGGCGCAGCUAACGCAUUAAGUUAUCCGCCUGGGGAGUACGGUCGCAAGAUUAAAACUCAAAGGAAUUGACGGGGGCCUGCACAAGCGGUGGAGCAUGUGGUUUUAAUUCGAAGCAACGCGCAGAACCUUACCAGCGUUUGACAUGUCCGGACGAUUUCCAGAGAUGGAUCUCUUCCCUUCGGGGACUGGAACACAGGUGCUGCAUGGCUGUCGUCAG